rnacentral:rRNA from 1 species
CAAGCCUGAUGCAGCCAUGCCGCGUGUAUGAAGUAAGGCCUUCGGGUUGUAAAGUACUUUCAGCAGUGAGAAGUGGAUAUGUUAAUAGCAUAUUCAUUUGACGUUAGCUGCAGAAGAAGCACCGGCUAACUCCGUGCCAGCAGCCGCGGUAAUACGGAGGGUGCGAGCGUUAAUCGGAAUUACUGGGCGUAAAGCGCAUGCAGGUGGUUGUUAAGUCAGAUGUGAAAGCCCGGGGCUCAACCUCGGAAUUGCAUUUGAAACUGGCAAACUAGAGUACUGUAGAGGGGGUAGAAUUUCAGGUGUAGCGGUGAAAUGCGUAGAGAUCUGAAGGAAUACCGGUGGCGAAGGCGGCCCCCUGGACAGAUACUGACACUCAGAUGCGAAAGCGUGGGGAGCAAACAGGAUUAGAUACCCUGGUAG